UGUGGAGAAAGUAAAUAAGGAAAAGUUAUGUACUUGUUCGCAUCAUAUAAGAAGUAGGGGCCAUCAAAUGAAAUUAAUGGGCAGCAGGUUUAAAACAAAUAAAAG